rnacentral:rRNA from 1 species
UGGGGAAUAUUGCACAAUGGGCGCAAGCCUGAUGCAGCCAUGCCGCGUGUAUGAAGAAGGCCUUCGGGUUGUAAAGUACUUUCAGCGAGGAGGAAGGCGUUGUGGUUAAUAACCGCAACGAUUGACGUUACUCGCGGAAGAAGCACCGGCUAACUCCGUGCCAGCAGCCGCGGUAAUACGGAGGGUGCAAGCGUUAAUCGGAAUUACUGGGCGUAAAGCGCACGCAGGCGGUCUGUCAAGUCGGAUGUGAAAUCCCCGGGCUCAACCUGGGAACUGCAUCCGAAACUGGCAGGCUAGAGUCUUGUAGAGGGGGGUAGAAUUCCAGGUGUAGCGGUGAAAUGCGUAGAGAUCUGGAGGAAUACCGGUGGCGAAGGCGGCCCCCUGGACAAAGACUGACGCUCAGGUGCGAAAGCGUGGGGAGCAAACA